UACGUAGGGUGCAAGCGUUGUCCGGAAUUAUUGGGCGUAAAGGGCUCGUAGGCGGCUUUCUAAGUCGGGGGUGAAAUCCUGGAGCUCAACUCCAGAACUGCCUUCGAUACUGGAAAGCUCGAGUCCGGGAGAGGUGAGUGGAACUGCGAGUGUAGAGGUGAAAUUCGUAGAUAUUCGCAAGAACACCAGUGGCGAAGGCGGCUCACUGGCCCGGUACUGACGCUGAGGUGCGAAAGCGUGGGGAGCAAACAGG
rnacentral:rRNA from 1 species